rnacentral:lncRNA from 1 species
AUGGUUAUAUGCACACUACUUGGACACCUAUCUGUUCUGCAUGUGUACAUACAUGCAUGUAUUUAAUGCCAUAUACAUGGCUGUGUACGUACACCAUGUGGGUAUGUGCACAUUAUUUCUGCAGAUGUAUAUAUACAUAUGUGCACACAAGCAUGCAUGUACACUAUGCACACUGAAUAAACUUCUGGAUAUGUACACACUAAUACAUAUACAUGCUGCAUAUGUAUGUACACUGUUGCAUAUGUGUAUACGCUUUAUACGUUAGUGUACUGAUGUACGUUGUAUACAUGUGCAUAUGUGUACACUGCGCAUGUGUAUGCAUGCUGUAGUGCACCUACGUACAUUGGAUAAGAGUUGUAUGCUAUACGCACGUGUAUACAUAUAGCAAAUAGCAUACCUAUGUACAUACGGAUGUGCAUGUGUAUGCCAUAUGCAUGUACAUACAGGUUAUAGUAUACCUGUGUACGCUGUAUGCAUACAGAUGGGUGUACGUGCUAUGCAUGCGCAUACGUGUUAGCAUACCUAUGUACAUUUGCUAUAUGGAUGUGUGUAUGCUCUAUGCUUUUACACACGUAGUGAACUUGUUUGUACACUAUAUUUGGAUGUGUGUACACUCUAUGCAUGGAUACCACAUGGAUCUGGAUGUGUGUGCACUCUACGCAGGUAGUGCACUUAUGUACACUCCACGUAUUCGGAUGUGUGUACGCUCUAUGCAGGUACACGUGUUACAGUGUACCAUAUACGUACACUAUGUGGAUGUAAAUGUGUGUGUGCUCUAUGGCACCAGGAAUAGGGCUCCCGCAGGGAUCCAAGAACACACCAUCUCGCUGGCACCGGAGAGUGUAGGAUGAAAACAGUUGUUUGUUGCAAUCUAGUUGAAAUUUGGCAGGUUGCUAUAUCCUUUGCAACGAUUUAGGAAUAGUCACUUCAUUGAUGUGUGUGUUCCUGAAAUCAUAAACAGCUCUGUGAGGUGUGUCUCAUCCCAAGACGAGAAAGGGAACCGAAACAACAAUGACUCGGUCACUUAAGUGAGGUAGAACUAACACAGCAGCUGUCUAGCUUUCUGUAUUAUAACUUUGUCAGCAGCUCAAUGAGAAAUCGGCACUCAUCAGGAAAUGUGUCCACUUUCUACUGUUCUUUACUCGUGGCGUAUUUACUGCCUCGUGUUAUUCCUCACGAUGUAGCAAAAUCCCUCCUAGAGUUGUGAAUAUAAACAGUUCAUGACAAAUGUAGUAUCUUCUUUGUUAACAUUGAAAAUGAUAUGUAAGUUCAUCUUCAGAUACUGUUUGGAAGGAUGAGAAAGAAGAUGUUUAGGACAAAAGAAUAGAGAGCUUUCAAGUAAACAGGGAAAAUAAGGACUUUGUGCAAAAUAUUUCCAAAUUUGGAAUUUGAGAAUACUAAAUCUCACAUCUAAGAUCGUAGGUAGUUUUUUUGGGGGGGGUUUAAAAUUAGUACUUGGUUUUCCAUGCCUUUGGGAAUUUCACUCCUGAUGGAGGAUUGCAAGAAUAACCUGAUUUUUCAGAACAGAAGGACAGUCUGUCUCAAAGGUAAAUUCCAGGUUCUACCAUAGAGAAAUAGAAAUUGCUGUCAACUUUCUGUAAGGUUCUUCAGUUCUUUCCUCUUCUGUGGUUAAAAAACCAUCUCUGGGUUUAGUCUCAGCCAAGUUCCUCUUAUGAGGUUGCCUUACAUUUCGCACAGCUGUUGAGAGUCUUCAUCAUUCGUAGUUAACUCGUCAAAAGUAAACUUUGUACUAGUUAGAUCUGAGCACCUUGAAGGCAGGGCUUUGUUUUAUAUUUUUAAUAAGCAGCAGGGUGAUGGCAGGGCUGGGGCCCUUCAUCCCAUCAUGCGUUCCUCUGAGCUUUCGGAGUUCUCACUGCGUGCCGAGUGUGGUGUUGGCUGUGUAGCGUUUAAAUAGGAAUAUGAGGCUCUGUGACUUGGGACGCUCUUACCACCUUCAUAGAGAGCUUGGUGACAGCUUAGCAUGACAGCUUACACACCUGUUGUGUAUACUUUAUUACGGCCCCACAGAAAGGGUAUUGAUUUAAACGUGACUAAUUUCUCGUAUUUAUUUUUGCCUUUAUUCCUAGUUACAGUCCCGAUACUUUUUCUUCCUUUAAAAUCUUGCUAAUCGCUGGUGAAUUAGUGAUAAACUAUAUUUAUGUAAAUCUAGCGAUUUAAUUGGAGGUCAUUAUUCUUGUACCAUGUGUCAGUGCUGUGUCAGGAAGUCUCAGUUUUACGUUGUCAAAGGAUUAACUAGAGCAGGAUGCAGUCUUACUGGAACUUGCUCAUUUAUGAAAUAUAGGCACUUUAUUUUUUGUUAUACUCGAGGUGUGCUCAAAUGUAAACAUUUUGAGCCGUGUUAGAAGGAUAUACAAGAUUGUAAUGAAGAAAUCAACAACUUGAUCAAGUACCAGCUAAUGAACUUUAUGUUUGAAGUAUAUGGAACAUGGACCUUGGCAAUCAGUUUUCAUCUUGACCUUUUAUUUUUUUACUAGAAUCUUGGUCUGUCACCCAGGCUGGAAGUGUGGAGCACAGUAGUACGAUGUCCGUUCACUGCAACCUCUACUUCCCAGGUUCAGGUGAUUCUUAUGCCUGAACCCCCCUAGUAGCUGGGGUUACAGGGUGUGUGCCACCAUGUCUGGAUAAUUUAUUUUUAGUAGAGAUGGGGUUUUGUCAUGUUGGCCAAGCUGGUCUGCAACUCCUGACCUCAAGUGAUCCACCCACCUCAGCUUCCCAAAGUGAUGGGAUUACAGGUCUGAACCACCAUCCCUGGCCUGAUCUUCUGUUCUAAUAUUGGUUAUUCAGUCUCAAUGAUAGCGCCUGGUUGUAUUAACUUGUUGUAGAAAGCACAAUUGCAAUGAAUUUGGUUGUGUAUGUACGUGCUGACUUAGCGUUCAUGGCAGCACUGUGAGGUGGGCAUUGUUCCUGAAGGAAGGAUGGAUGGGCAAGUCGGGGCUUAGAUAAGGGACUUGUGGGCAGUCACUGUUGUCCCAUGGCUGAGAUCAGGCCUGUCUGUCGCCUGUACCCUGAACUCUUAACACACGAACGAGCAACUGUCAAGAGUCGGUGCUCGAGUGUGAUGUGGCCUGUGGUGUGUGCCUCUCAGCCUUGCUUUGUCUCGGGGUAACAGGGCAACAGCUCCGUCCCUCGUGCGGCUGCCUGGGAGUCCCAGGAGAACCCACUGAUACCGUUUAUAAAUGCCGGACAUCGAACGUUCUCCUUGGUACCAGCACAUCUGGAAUCGGACAGUGCAGUUAGAUUCUCGGCCAGCAAACCUGUACAGGAGUGUGUGAACUCUGCAUUUGCUUCUCCCGGACAAAGGUGAAUUCCCGGUCACUAGUGGAUGACAACAGGUGUGGCCUCAGGAGCAGCACGGAGACAGGCACCCGGGUGCAGGAAGAGCAUCUGCAAGAGGGGUUGGGGAACAUGACAGACGCACGUGCGAGUUUAGCUGUUACCGUGGCAGGUGGGGGGUGGGUGAGACCAGAUUUUCUCAUUGUUGCCCCUUUCUGAAAAGGGCCCUGAAUUGACUUCUCUGUGGCUCCUCGCGCCUCCUUGUCAGGUUGGAGGAGACUGCUCCCCUGGCUCAGGCCCUGCUUGCGGCGACACGGAAGCUGCUGUUGCUUGCCCUGCCCUCCCUGUGACGUCCUCUGUGCUGUUGUCCGGGAACAGUUCUGCCGAGCAAGCUUGGACUCUGCUCCCUUCUGCUCUUGGAUUUCAUGUCUGGAAGGCUUGUGUUCUUUCCUGAUUUUUGAUGAUGCUGAGCUAUGUUUUCGCAAGGAUCACACGUGCCCAUACAGGGAGAAGCUCCUUUGCAACUUUAGCAUCUUGACGCUCUCAAGCAGAGCUUGCUAUCGAAGUUGACAGCCUCCUGUGUUUUUGUUUUGGCAGAAACUGAAUUUCAGUCCUAGGACAGCUUCAGCACACUUGAUCCUAGCUCUUCUCUCUCACUGCUCCCCUCGUGUGUGGCAGAAAUCAUAUGCCCUGAAGUUUACCAGUCCCUUCAUUUGAAAAUCAGUUAAUGUAUGCGAUCCUCAUGAGAAUUUUACUUUUUAUUAAAGCAAUCGCAAAGACUGGGUUUUGUGAAACCAGUGUUUUAUGUGUAUAUUAAUUGCACUCACAAUAAGCUUUGUCUUCUAAAUAUUUCAUGUUUCAGAUUAGCCCUGGAAUCAUGCCCUGGAGUAGUUUUGCUUUUCCGCUUUUAUUUUUGGCUAAGGUAAAGUUGAGAACAUUGUGAUAUUAGGUGUAGUGAGCCCUUUUAGCUUCUUCUAUGUCUGUUUUCCUUUAAGCCAGAACCAGCAGACGGAUACCAGUUUGUGAGCACCUGGCAUCUCCCGGGCCUUUCCUGGGUCUUCCCUCCGCUGUCUCAUGGACAGAGCAGUCACUCGUGGAAGGUGAACCUGAGAAUCUGUGCGUGGAAUUAAGUAAAUGUCAUAGCUCUCUUCUGUGACGAACUGAAUCACAUUAGGCCCAGUAAAUUGUAACAGCAGGUUUUGCACAUACAAAGCAUUGAACACCAGGACAGGUAACCAGGCUGCGACGCUUCUGGUCCUGCACAAGACCUCCGGUAUCACAGCACAUUUAACAUAUUGGCUGCAUUGAGUGUUUGAAAACGUUGUGUAUGUGUCAUGUCCGUGAUUUUCGAGGGCCUGGAAAAACACCUCUGUGGUUAUAGCAAUCUUGAUCGAUGGGAGCUUAAGGUUAGUACUGGGGCAGACUGUGUUUUAAAGAAUCAAGGUCUCUCGAGUAUGUUUCAGUUUUCCCAUGAAGAAGAAAGAUGUUAGCUGUUCUUUCCUGGACUGUGGCUAUCAGAGUGCCCCACCACGGUCACUCACACGUUUACUUCAUUUCCAUUUAACCGGGCUGGGCUUGGGCCAGAGUACUUCGGUUGUCAAAUGUCAUAUGAGGCUGAGGAAUUGUCUUCUGCUUCAUCGUUGGCAUAUGGAAAUACUGUUUUUCAUUUUUUUUUUUUUUUUUUGAGACGGAGUCUCACUCUGUCGCCCAGGCUGGAGUGCAGUGGCUGGAUCUCAGCUCACUGCAAGCUCCUCCUCUCGGGUUCACGCCAUUCUCCUGCCUCAGCCUCCCGAGUAGCUGGGACUACAGGCGCCUGCCGCCUCACCUGGCUAGUUUUUUGUAUUUUUUAGCAGAGACGGGGUUUCACCGUGUUAGCCAGGAUGGUCUCGAUCUCCUGACCUCGUGAUCUGCCCGUCUCGGCCUCCAGUGAUUACAUGAACUGUUUUUCAAAGUAUACUCUACUUUCUCAUUUGUGUUUAUAUAAAAUAAUGGAAUGGUUAUUUUAACUGUGCAGUUUCCUAUGCUUGCUUAUUUAAUUGCGGAAAGAUAAUGGUUUUAUUUUGCUAAAAUCUGUGCUAGGAAUUGUGCAAAAUCUUUGUGAAAUGCCCAUUUUACUAGCUUCAGUUAUAGAUCUUUGUAUAGAAAAGAAAAAGCCUAUUGCUACAAGGAGCAUUGUCUUUACCGAUGCAAAAAGCUUUAGGCUUAUUGGCCGUGUAGUCAGUAAAAUGCAUCAGAAUGUGACGAAAAUUGAGAAAAGCAUUGAAGUUUUAAAAUCUGCUAUGCAGUUUUCUUCAACUCCCUUGCAAGGUACUUAAAUAAAAGACAGAAUAAAGUGUUCCCAUUGAGGAAAGGGGCAAGAGGACUGUUGAGAAUGUGUUCUGAACCUGAGCAGUCCUGCCACGCUCGUCUGUGAUGUGGUGGUGUCCAUGGUAUCACUUUUACAGAACUUUAAGAAUGCUGCUUCUGUGAAUAAAAUACAUUUAUUCUUAGCAUUUCAGUUUUGAGUUUUGAGAAGUGUAAACGUGUUAAUGUUUUCUUUCCCUUACAGAAUUUGCUUGUUCUUUUUUUUUUUUUUUUUUAAAUGCCUACAAGACUCUGAAGCACAUUAAUCACUUAAAAAGAAAAGAAAAAUAAAAAA